AAAUUGAAGAGUUUGAUCAUGGCUCAGAUUGAACGCUGGCGGCAGGCCUAACACAUGCAAGUCGAGCGGCAGCGGGGAGUAGUUUACUACUUUGCCGGCGAGCGGCGGACGGGUGAGUAAUGUCUGGGAAACUGCCUGAUGGAGGGGGAUAACUACUGGAAACGGUAGCUAAUACCGCAUAACGUCUUCGGACCAAAGUGGGGGACCUUCGGGCCUCACGCCAUCGGAUGUGCCCAGAUGGGAUUAGCUAGUAGGUGGGGUAAUGGCUCACCUAGGCGACGAUCCCUAGCUGGUCUGAGAGGAUGACCAGCCACACUGGAACUGAGACACGGUCCAGACUCCUACGGGAGGCAGCAGUGGGGAAUAUUGCACAAUGGGCGCAAGCCUGAUGCAGCCAUGCCGCGUGUGUGAAGAAGGCCUUCGGGUUGUAAAG
rnacentral:rRNA from 1 species